GCUACCCUUAAGCUGUGAUAAAGCCCAGCUGGGAGGCAAGCUAAGAGGUUUAGGAGAACUGGAGAAGCUGGGUUCCCUGAUCCAUGGAAGGUGCAAGGCUUAAGUUAGUCAAGAGAACAGCUCCAAAACCCUGGAGAAGAUGGAGUCAAGCUCAAGUCCUGACACUUUCUGGGCUGGAUGGGGAGACUGAAGUACCCAGCAAAGCAGUGCUGAACCAGGAACUGAAGCAAGGUCUCCUGACCCCAGUCCAAUGCUCUAUCUGCUAGGCCACACGAGCUUCUAACCAGAACCAUACUUCAACCAUGUGUGUUUGUGGGUGUAGACAGGGAAGGGACUAAACCUGCAUAGGUCCCACUGAAGUUGCCUGAGCUCUGGGGCAUGCAUGGUGUACCUGGGCAGGGCUGACUGCAAUACUGUAGCCUAGGUUUUGUACUGGAGCAUUCCAUGGGAAACCAAGGGGGUACACGGAUUCUUAUGCUUUCGAUCAGCCUCGCCCUUGGCUUGUUCCAGAUGAAGGAUAGGGUUAAAUUUAGGGCUUUCCCUGCUUUACCCAGAUACCCAGCCUUUCCAACACUCACAGCAAGCUAGAGAUCUGAUUAACUUGUCCCCUUCACUCUUUAUGUAAAGUUUGUUCUUCACAUUCCCUUUCACUGGCAAUGGUUUUACUGAUUGCUUAAGGAUAUCUUGCU